UUUUUCUUCUUCUUCUUUUUCCCUCUUUUUUCUUUCUUUUCUUUCUUUCUUUUUUUCCCUCUCUUAAUUUCUUUCUUUCUUUCUUUCUUUCUUUUUUCUUGGUCUCAGCCGUGCGGACGUGAUGGGGAAUGGAGGGAAGUCAUGAUAGCCGGCUGCUUGGGCGGCGGGCUGGCAUUCCAGGCGGGCUGUGGCUGAGCCAGCGUGAGCCUCAGUCCUCCGCAGCUCGGGUGGCGGGAAGGUGGAGCCAGCCGCUUCUCCCCGAUUGCAAAGUAAGAAGCAGAAGGGGAAAGGACUUGGCUGCCAGCAGCUUGCCCAUCCUUUAUGAACUGGAUCUGUAAAGGAGACUCUCAGAAGCUGUGUUUAUUUCAAGCUAUGAUGACCCAUUUGAGUUCAUUUUUCUACAUGGCAUGAGUUCUCUCGCCUGGCUCCACUGUGUACAUUUUGUGUGUGCGGGCAUGCAUGGGACAUUCUUCCCCGGAGGCAGCUGGGGUUCACUCCUGGAGGAGCCCACCCCCACUUGCUCCUCCCUUCUCCCCUACCCCCCCUCCUCCUGCUCUGCCUCAACCUUGUGUCCCGGGCCUUCCCAGCCCCCAGCCCUCAGUCCCCACCAACCCAUAGAGGAGAGGAGCAGAGGGAGGCCCAGACUGUGGCCUGAGGUUAUUUACAGGGUGGGGGUGGGGUGGGGGAGGGAAGAGAAAUCCACGGCUUUGUUUAUCUUCUAAGUCUGGAAACUCUGCAAAAUUCAUCCAUUUCCAAGGAAGCCUACAUUUGUAGGCUCCCAGAAAUAAAAAAAUAAAAGGAGACUCACUUCAAAAGAAACGAAGUGAAAAGCUGUGUUCUUUGUGAACUGAUUUGUUGUUUAUUAUUAUUAUAAUUUUUAACAUUCGGUUUGAUUAAAAUAGGCAAAAGGAGUCACCUUUUUUCAUAUUUUCAUUACAUUCUUACUCUCAUCCUCUGUUGCUUUGUCAGUGAAGAAGGCAAAUAAUAUUUUAAGAGACUGAGACAGAUACGUUCUCAGCUCUCAGUUCUCAGUUCACACAUGUCUGGGAAAUCGAGGUUCCGUGUAAACUUUUAUCAUCGUGUUUUCUGCUGAGGUUAUAGAUGGCUCUGGGAAUCUUCGGUUCACACUUAAAGCAAACUUACUCAAACUGUCCCACUUUUACAAAUUAAAAAAAUAUAUGUAUGCUUCAACACAGAUUUUUAAGAUAAUAAAAGCAAUUUUAAUAGGCUGGUUAGUUGUCUGUACAUGAUUUCUCCGGGUCUUUUGAAAAUUUGGAGUGAACGGUGCCCAUAUCAAAUAUAGCAUGUUAAUUUACUGGCCUUUUUUUAACCCUGCACUCAGACAAUAACCUUUUCAUGUGGUGCCAGAAAACGGUAUAUGUUUUGAAAAAAGUUUUUUAAAGAUAGAGUCAGUGGAAAAAAGGAGAUUUCAGGAAAAAAAAAAACCAUAAAAUGUACUUGAAAACGUGUCACUUCAAAUAUGAACUUUCGAUUGCAUCUUCGGGAUAUAAAUAUUCGAUUUUUAAAGUUUUUAUUAUUUACCACAUUAUAUGAAUCACUGUACUGAUGUAAGCCUAAAAUCAUGUAAACUUCAUGUAAACUUACAAGUAUUGCUAUGUAUCUUAAUAUUUUAUGGAUUCAUUUUAUAGGAGUUUCAAAAUCUGGGGAAGAGGUAAUCUGUGGCACAAAAAAAGAGUGACAUAAAUCACAUUCAAUCUGAUCUACUUUUUCCUAAACUUUGUCUUUAAGGUUACUAGAAACAACCCAAAUUUCCAUCAACAGAGGAGUGGGUAAAUCUAUGUGGUGUCCUUAGCAAUGAAAUUGAACAAUGUAACAUAGCACGAAGUAACACAGGACUGACAUCUUCAUGUUCACUGAAGAAAGCCAGACAGCCAAGAGGGCACAUGGAAUGAUUCUGUUUACACGAAACUCAAGAACAGACAAAGCUGAUCAGUGGGGACAGAAGUCAAGAUGGUAGUUAUUUGGGGGAUGUGACUGGAAAGAGGCUCAAGGGGGCUGUUGGGGUGCUGGUAAUGUCCUGGUUCUUUCUUUCUUUUUUCAUUGUCAUGUCUUUUUUUUUCUAUUGAUGUGUAAUUCACACACAGUGUUAUAUUAGUUUCAGGUGUACAAUAUAAUGAUCCAACAAUGUUCUUUUCUUUAAUCUGGUCAUGAUUUCAUAGACUUGAAUCCUUUGUGAAUAUUCGUCAAGCUCUUAUACGUAUCAUUUGGGCACACUCCUGUCUAUGUGUGUUUUCGUUCAGUGGAGAGUUCACUUAAAAAACCCUAUCUGAGUUUUCAAAGGUCAAAACAGCCACAGUCUUCAUUGCCUCACCAAAAGUAUUUGAUAUGAUGUCCAAAACUUUAGAAACCAAGAUGCUGUUCCUCGCUCUGAGCCAAUAAAUAAACUAAUAGAAAAGUCAGUGGCUUCACCAAUAACUUAUUUGUAGAUAGUCUACACUGAGUGUCAUAGUAUCUUCCGUCCAGAGACAAGCCAAGCUUCCUUUCAGCAGAGUGGCCUGCUCACCUGUCAGCUUCUCUGAGCCCAGAGAGUUUGGUUACCUCCGACUCUGGUCCUCCCAGCAGCUCACCUGAUGCCAUGACCAGGAGCAGGUCAGGCUGGGCCAUGGUCAGCCCGCCAAGUCAGUGUAGAACUCACUGGUGACCCAUUUUGUUUAUCCCAUGCUGAAGUCCCUGACAUAUAUAAUUGGGAACAGAAUUCUUUGGGAAUUUCCUCUCUAAAACCAUCUAGAGAAAUCCUGUUGAGAUACUAAAGAUACAAGGGGCCUUUGCUGAAAUACUUGGUUAAAAUCUGCUGAAUGAUAGGGCCAUGAAACACAAAAGAGCUGGUUUCUUUCCUUCUGGGAUGCUUAGGGCUUUCUAGUACCCUACUCCCAUCAACCAACAGGGUGAGAGGUGUUGGUAUAACCAGCUGGACAUUUUUUUUUACAAACUAUCUUGGUGCAGCCUGUCAUCUUCUCUCUCCAAUAGGUAGCUGAAGUUACGUUAGAGCAAGUGGGCCUUCGAGAACAGCUCACAGAGCCCCCUGGUUUGCCAAAGACUAUGCCAAGGCUGGGGAAGGGAAAGGGAUUUGCAAGUUGAAUGGUAAGAACACGGUCUCCUGGGACACCCAUCAGUGACCCCCUAAGGGGGAUUUAAAAACAAAGCAAGGUCUUGUUGAGCCAAAAUUAGCUGUCACCUCCUUCCCUUGGUUUCUACCAUCAAAAUCAGGUUCUGAAGUCACUCUAGAAGGGGCCAGGAGCUGUCUAUGCCUCCUGCUAGGAGCAAAUGGUGUCCAGGUGUCCUCAUCUGGGGUGAGCUGGAGGAGAGAGGCCCUGUGUGGAAUGGCAAGCCCAGAAAAACACAUUCCUGAGAGGGCUUGCAGAGGGACAUAGUGAAGAGUAAAAUUCUUGGCCUCUGGAAUUACACCUCACAGGUUCAAAUCCCACCUCCACCUCUUAACCUCUCCGCACUUCUGUUCCGCUACCUGGGAAGCAGGAAUGAUGGUAGUAUCCACUUUGUCAGGUUGCUGUGAACAAUGAAUAGUGUGUGUAGUGCUUGGAACAUGCCGGGAGGCAGAAAGAUCGCCUGUAGGGACGCUGAAUGGGCACUGAUAAGGCAAGGGGCCAUACUUCUGGUGUCUUUGGUGAAUAAAAGAGGUAGAGACAAUUUUUGGUCAUGGAGGUAGAGCCUGUCUAUGGCCCAGGCUAACCACGGUACCACCUGGCCUCAGUGAAACCCUUUCCUCUUAGUUGGACCAACUGGUUGGGGCCAGUGAUGCCAUGAUGUGGCACCAGGGACAGCAAAGGGAGUAUGUGAUCAGUGGAGCCCUGGUUGGGACUGGGAGACACGCCAGAGGUAAACCAGAGUCACCUCCCUGACUGGUAGGUCUCUCUGUGGAAUG